rnacentral:rRNA from 1 species
GAUGAACGCUGGCGGCGUGCCUAAUACAUGCAAGUCGAGCGAACCACUUCGGUGGUGAGCGGCGAACGGGUGAGUAACACGUAGGUUAUCUGCCCAUCAGACGGGGACAACGAUUGGAAACGAUCGCUAAUACCGGAUAGGACGAAAGUUUAAAGGUGCUUCGGCACCACUGAUGGAUGAGCCUGCGGGGCGUUAGCUAGUCGGUGGGGUAAAGGCCUACGAAGGCGACGAUGCGUAGCCGACGUGAGAGGGUGAACGGCCACACUGGGACUGAGACACGGCCCAGAGUCCUACGGGAGGCAGCAGUAGGUAAUCUACGGCAAUGGGCGAAAGGCUUACCGAGCAACGCCGCGUGAAUGAUGUAGGCCUUCGGGUUGUAAAAUUCUGUUAUAAGGGAAGAAUGGCUAUAGUAGGAAAUGGCUAGAGUGUGACGGUACCUUAUGAGAAAGCCACGGCUAACUACGUGCCAGCCGCCGCGGUAA